UACGGAGGGUGCAAGCGUUAUCCGGAUUUAUUGGGUUUAAAGGGUGCGUAGGCGGUAGAGUAAGUCAGUGGUGAAAGCCUGUUGCCUAACAACAGAACUGCCAUUGAUACUGCUUUGCUUGAGUAUAGAUGAGGUAGGCGGAAUUAAUAGUGUAGCGGUGAAAUGCUUAGAUAUUAUUAAGAACUCCGAUAGCGAAGGCAGCUUACUAAACUAUAACUGACGCUGAGGCACGAAAGUGUGGGGAUCAAACAGG
rnacentral:rRNA from 1 species